UGAGCAUCCCUGUUAGGACCGUGGCUUCCUCUCUUAACACGAUGGCUCCUUCUGCAUAGAACCUCCUAAAGCAAAGAGACGAAUACAUCCAGAGCAGUGGCGAUGUAUUCAGACAACCUCUUCUCCAUCAGGGCUACUCGUAUCCAGGCCCGACCCUGAAGGAGACAACAAAGUGAGCAGAGGGUGGAGUAUGGGCUAACAGCAUGAGACCUCAUGGAAACAAGGAGCUGCAGAAGGAGGAACCCCACAGUGUUUGACCAAAAAAAUGAUUGCAGCCAUUGAUAAUAGACUGAUGAACGCGAUACUAUGUUGUUAUUUUAGAAACUAUUAUAUUUUAUUUAAAAAUUCAGAACAAGUAUUAAUGCAGACAAUACAACAAUGUUUAGAUUUGGUAAGUAAUAAUUAAGUAAUAAUGUCAGUAUUGACUAAAUUAGUAUUGUCUUCUAAAAAUGCAUUAUCAAAAACAGCAUUUGAACAUUUUCAAUAUGCUUUUUUGCUUCUAAGUCAGAUUCCAUAAAUUGUUCACUGUU